CCAUCACUGUCUACAGGCAGGACAUACAUUCAUCAUACAGAUGUGUAGCAGCCAACCCUGCAGAAAACAAGACUUUUUCUGUUGAUGUGAGGAAAUUAUGUGGAUUCAACGAGACAGAAAGUGGUGAUGAAGAAAGAAUGUAUUGGAUCGCACCUGUUGUCUCAGUCGGGUUUGUCAUCAUUAUUGGUUUUGUAUUCUGUGUGAUCAAGCAGAGAUAUCUGGGCAAAAAGACAUCUGACAGACAAACACAAGGCAGAUCCCGCAAAAGAACCGGAAGUCCUAUAUACGCCAAUACUUAUUAAGGAUAAAAGACAGACUGAGGUACAGGUAGGUGAAUAGAAAUCCCCUCAGGUAAAGGUGUUAGUUACCAGGAUACAGUAUCAGUGAUGUUUGCUUCUCCUCCCACUGUAAAUAUGAUCUAUUUCUAUGUACCAGUGGUGUCAGAUAUCACAAUGCAAAUAAGUUUUUUUUUCUGUUCUGUUUAAAGAACAUUUUCUGACUGUUAUAAAAGGUAAAACAUUGAAUUUAAAAGGUUAAAAACUAUUUUAAACUCUUAUUAACACGUUGAUAGGUCAGAGCUGCAGUUUAGUUUUUAUUAGAUUAACCUGUUUGACACAAGUCACUCUGCAGACGGGAAACUGAUGGGUUAAUUUGUUCCACUGAGUUAGUUAGUGAUAGUUUUUCACUGUAGUCUUUCAAA